rnacentral:misc_RNA from 1 species
UCUUUACAUUAUUCUCAUCCUUUGCUGAGAUUGGUUGAUCAACUCUUUCAUAUUCUUCAUCUGAAUGACUUCUUCCAGAGCCCACUGGAGUAAGUUCACGGCUUUCAUGUUGACUCCAAAUUUCCUGAUAGUGCAAGCAGUCCGGAUGGCUCAGUAUGUUAGGAGCAUCUUCUGUCAAAUGAUGCUCAGGUUCAUCAACCUGGAAUGUUAUCUCUUCAAAUCGGCCGUGCAUGGAAGCACAUCCAUUCCUACAACAGGGAUUGUUUGAUAGUAAAUCUAUAAGUGAACCAUUAGAG